rnacentral:rRNA from 1 species
GCACAUAUAAAUAAGCCCUAUAAAUAAAAAACAAUAAAAACAGUUAAAUAGUUAAAAACACAAAGUACAGAAAUGGAAAAAAUAAUAAAUAAAAGUAAAUCUUAAUAAAUGUACCUUGUGCAUUAUGGUUUUACAAGAAAACAAUCAAAAUAGUAAUCCCGAAUUCUAAGUGAGAUGUUAAACUGCUGUUAUGAACCCAUUAAUAGCUGUAUAAAAAGCUUUAAAAGACAGUUUAACAGAGGCUACAUACCAUCCGCACAAGAAUAUAGCUGGUUUUUAACAAACAUUAUUUAUUAAAACAUAUAACGUUGUUAUAGUGUAAUAUUAUUGAGGAUAAGCCCAAUAACCUAAGCAAUACUAAGUAAUGAUUCUAUUAAAUUUAAUAGGCCUAAAAACAGCCAAUUAAAAUACUUUAUAGUAAUAAGAAAAGAAAAAAUAAGUACCGAAUACAUGCUAAAAUAAGUUAAAACACUGGAUAAACCACUACAUCCACCUAUACUAUGUAAAAAUAAGUAUUAAAAAAUAUAUCACAACCUAACUAGUAACACCAAAUACAAAAACAACCAUAAUUAAUUAAGGAACUCGGCAAACCAUUAUUUCGACUGUUUAACAAAAACAUUGUCUUAUGUAUAAAAUAUAAGAUAAAACCUGCCCAGUGACAAUUAGUUUAACGGCCGCGGUAUCCUAACCGUGCAAAGGUAGCAUAAUCACUUGCCUAUUAAUUGUAGGCUAGAAUGAAUGGGUUAACGAAAUAAAAACUGUCUCAAUUAAUUAUCUAAAAAUUAUUCUCUAUUUGAAGAAAAAUAGAUAAUCUCGAAGGACAAGAAGACCCUAUAGAGCUUAAUCUUACUUAUAGAAUUACUACUAUAAUGAUAUUCGGUUGGGGCGACCAUGGACUAAUAAAUCAUCCAUUAAAUAAAAGAUAUAUUAAUCAUACAAUUGAUCCUUCUAUGGACCACAAGACCAAGUUACCUUAGGGAUAACAGGCUAAUCCCACUUAAGAGUCCUUAUCAACAGUGGGGUUUGGCACCUCGAUGUUGGCUUAGGGAAUCUAUAUAAAGCAAAAGUUAUAUAAAGAUGGUUUGUUCAACCAACAAUACCCUACAUGAGCUGAGUUCAGACCGGCGUAAGCCAGGUUAGCUUCUAUCCUCGACUAAAAUAAUCUACUCCUAGUACGAAAGGACCUGAGUAGAAUAAUAACUUACAUAAAAGAAUUCAUAUAACUAAAUAUAAAAAUACAAAAAUAUAAACUAUG